CUGGGUUUUCUUCUGCAUGAAGCUCGUAUGUGACCAUAUCUGUAACAAUGGUGGCAGAGUGACUCUGAAUAUAUAAGGCAAUACUGGGUAGUUGACGUAAAACAUCUGUAUAUUUUUGGGAAUUCUCUGUUCCUCAAAAGUAAUUGAGACGGUGUAAGAUGGAGUGAGACUAGUGAGUGAAGAAGAUGAUGAAGCGGAACCGUCUUGAAAGCUAUUGUGAUUGCUUUGAGAGUUGAUGAGCAUUCUGCGAUUGAGCCUUUUAACUGAUAAAACUUUAAAGGGGCUUCUAAUGUUGUCCUGUAUCAAUUGAUUAGCCAGUUCAAGGGAUACAUUUUUGAUAAUUCUCUUGCAAGAUACCCUUGACGGGGGGAUAAAAGCAAUUAAGUCCUUUGACUUGAAGUUAGUAUUUUCGACCAGCUUGUUAGCUUCCUGGCCGCUUUUUAGAAAAAUGGAUACUUUUGAGAAGCCUGAUUUUUUAAUUUUUAAACUACCUGAGAUGUUGAGACUUGUAAUGUGUCUCCCCACAGUAAUUAGAUGUAGAGCGGCAAUUGUGUUAGAAAUUCUCUGGAUGUGGACGUCGUAUGGACAAAAAUUGGUCUCCGUGUAUCUUGUCUUGAGAAUAUCUUCGGAAAUAGAGAUGACUGAACCCGUGGUGGAAGCACUCCUUGAUCUAGGGAUGAGAGAGCUUCCGGAUCCGCAGAUUUUGCUGCAUGGUGGGUCAUAUGAGGGGUCGAGAUUCUGACGUUUAUGACCUCUUUUGUGCAUCGUCUUAUUGUUAGUCCUAGGGGGAAAAAGACAUUGCAGGAUCAACAACCAUGGGUUGAGUUGUGGAAGAGGCCUCGGUCUCUGUUAGUAAAUUGUCGAGGAAGGUGUCUAUAAUCAUCUGGUCGGUGACCGUAUGAUUGCCCUAAUCUCCGGAGUUCAUUCUAAAAAAAAGAAAGGGGAUAAUUGCUGGAAUGAGAGCUGAGGAGAGGGUGAACACAGAGUCUAAAGCGAGAAGACAUGAAAAGCGCGGGAAGUAGUGGCUUUUACCGAGACAAAGGCCUUGUGGCCGGCACUGUCACUUCUUGUGGAUAAUUGUAUGUUUGGCAGUGGUGGACGCCUAUAUAACUAAUUAUCCGAUAAAGCACUCACUAAAACUAAGCUGUUCCAGUCUUAGUAUGCGAGAAAACACACGCGAGCGUUGCUAUUUAUCCCGAUUGAAGAAAGCACUUGGAAAACACGUCUUACUUUCUCGAAAUCAAAGAUGGCGUCUCCUCUCGGGGAUUCAUUGUCGUCGCGCCGUCUCAUUUUUUGUCGCGUUUAUCUACGUGUUUGUACCAUUGCGCUUUGAUGAGACUGUCGAGUAUUGCAUGUACGAGUGAGUGAAGCGUAUCGCAUAAUCAUUGUAUUAGUCCGUCGCGUAAUUCGAGUAUAACGAAAUAUCGAGGGAGAGAAAACAUCAGACGAGACUGCGUGCGAGAGCGCGAAAGCGACAAGGAUAGAGAGCGUGUGCGCGCGAGAGUGAGCGAGACGGCGAUAGCCGUGAACUGUCAGUCACCGGCGUAUUCGCGGCAAAUAUCGAACUACAUCAUUUUGCGCAACCACACCCUGCCCCUCUACCGUUAGGUGAGCAGCCGGCCCGUUGCAGGACUUCCGAAUUGUUGCGUUAUUCCGUGUGUCGCGAAUUCACACGCACAUGUGAAAGAUCGUGUCUGGCGCCCAAAAAUUCGAGUAAUUUCGCGUAUCCGUCGGCUGGCAUCCUGCUGCGGUACGCGCGGAGCGACCACCAUCCCAGUUCACUAAGAGUCUUGUGCAUGUUGGUUUGGAGAUUAAGUUACCAUUGCCGAUGGUUAGAACCACACGUAGAACAAGAGCUAGCUCCGUCGAUCCAGAAUCUUUAUCUGAUCAAAAUAUAGAAGUCAAUCUGGCACAUCAUUUAAAACACAUAAACGAGUACUGUCAAUUCUCUAAUUAAAAAAAAGAUGAAAAGAAGAUUCGUGUACCUUAUGUACGAUUGGAUACUACAAUAGUUAAGAUUGAUAAACUUACCAAUUCAGGUGCUAUUACAAAAAUGUCGUCAACAUAUGUAUAAAAGACCGGUAUACAAUUUAAUUUGCUUAAACAAUGUGUUUCAAAGUCGUCGAUGACCAAGUCAGCCAAUAUUGGUGAUAAGGGUGACUCCAUCGGGCAACCGAAAAUCUGUUCGUAGUAUUUUCCACCAAAUCCAAAGCUCGUUAAAUCAAGGACAACCGAGAGUGCAUGUAAAAACUGCGGCAAUGACAAGUUAGUAUUUGACGUAAUAUACAUCCAUCUCUUUUCAACUGCGUUUA